rnacentral:tRNA from 2 species
GGGUUGUAGCUCAGUUGGUAGAGCGCUGCGUUCGCAAUGCAGAGGUCGUGAGUUCGAAUCUCAUCAGCUCC